AUUGUGACAUGUUAAACAAAAACGCCGCGGUGUACGCUGCCGGGCGUUUUGAUGGGG
rnacentral:sRNA from 1 species